rnacentral:rRNA from 1 species
CUUGAUCAUGGCUCGCAUUGAACGCUGGCGGGGAUGCUUUACAUGCAAGUCGAACGGCAGCACGACUUCUGGUCUGGUGGCGAGUGGCGAACGGGUGAGUAAUGUAUCGGAACGUGCCUAUAGCGGGGAUGACCACAAGGAAGCGGCCAAUACCGCAUAUCGCCCUUCGGGGGAAAGCGGGGGACCUUCGGGCCUCGCACUAUUAGAUGGUCGAUAUCGAUUAAUAGUUGUGGGUAACGGCUCACCAAGGCGACGAUCCAGCUGGUUUGAGAGGACGACCAGCCACACUGGGACUUCGAGACAUGGCCCAGACUCCUACGGGAGGCAGCAGUGGGGAAUUUUGGACAAAUGGGGAAACCUUAUCCAGCCAUCCCGCGUGUGCGAUGAAGGCCUCGUUGUAAAGCACUUUUGGCAGGAAAGAAACGGCACGGGAUAAUACCCCGUGCAACUGACGAAAUUGCAGAAUAAAGCGCCGGCUAACACCGCGCUGGCAGCCAUGGCAUGUAGGGUGCAAGCGUUAAUCGGAAUUAUUGGGCGUAAAGCGUGCGCAGGCGGUUCGGAAAGAAAGAUAAAGAAAUCCCAGAGCUUAACUUCUGGAAACUGCAUUUUUAACUACCGAGCUAGAGUAGCCAGAGGGGAGGUGGAAUUCCGGCGUAGCAGUGAAAUGCGUAGAUAUGCGGAGGAACACCGAUGGCGAAGGCAGCCCCCCUGGGAUAACACUGACGCUCAUGCACGAAAGUGGAGCAAACAGGAUGAUACCUCCUAGUCUGCCUAAACGAUGUUUCAACUAGCUGUUGGGGCCUCUUCGGGCUCGGUAGCGCAGCUAAUGAAGUUGACCGCCUGGGGAGUACGGUCGCAAGAUUAAAACUCAAAGGAAUUGACGGGGACUCCGCACGCGGUGGAUGAUGUGGAUUAAUUCGAUGCAACGCGAAAACCUUACCUACCCUUGAUUAUGUCUGAAUCCCGAAGAGAUUGGAGUGCUCGCAAAGAGAACCGGAACACAUGGGAUGGCUGUCGUCAGCUCGUGUCGUGAGAUGUUGUUAAGUCCCCACCGAGCUACGAAACUGGCUUAUUGAAGUUGAGCAUGAAAGGGCACUCUAAUGAGACUGCCGGUGACAAACCGGAGGAAGGUGGGGAUGACGUCAAGUCCUCAUGGCCCUUAUGCAGGGCUUCACACGCCGCACAAUGGUCGGGACAGAGGGUCGCCAACCCGCGAGGGGGAGCCAAUCCCAGAACCCGAUCGUAGUCCGGAUCGUAGUCUGCACCCGACUGCGUGAAGUCGGAAUCGCUAGUAAUCGCGGAUCAGCAUGUCGCGGUGAAUAUGUUCCUGGAAGUCGUACAUACCGCCCGUCACACCAUGGGAGUGGGUUUUACCAGAAGUAGUUAGCCUUAACCAGACAGGAGGGCGAUUACCACGGUAGAUUCACAGGACUGGGGUGAAAGUCGUAACAAGGU